ACGUCCGACCUCUGUUUCGUUCCAUCCACAGAUGAUGUGGCGGAAAACCCACCAACACAGGACUGUGCCCUGAUUCUCCACCGAGUUGGAACCCUUUUAUGUAGUACAACAGAGCAAGCAAAAAACAAUAACAGCAACAAACAAAGCCUUGCAGGGACAGUGUCUGUGGAUGGCUUUGGCCAAUAGGAUGAUCAGGGACACCAGGAGACCCAGAAGCAGCAUGGAGCCCAAAGUGAUGACAAAAGGCACAUACCAGGCCGAUGGAGAAUACACGUUCUUCCUCAGGAUCCGUCGCUGCCAUGAGCAAGGUGACUCCUGGAACCCACCAGGUCAGUGGUUCUCCAAGGGCAGAAUGCGUCAGAAUCACCUGGGAAGUUUGUGGUCCAAUUCAGCAUUCCGAUGCAGAGUCUAGGAAUCUGCGUUUUUGAAGCAUCCUAGCGUCCUGCCUGAUGCCACCGUCUGGGCUGCAUCGCACACCCCAGUGUGUCUUACCUGUUGCCAAGUUGCCUUGAAACUCAGGCGGCUCAUUCACAUCUGUUACCUGGACCGUCAGGACCUGCAGAUGCUGCACUUCCCUGGGAUUGCUGUUAAGUUACGUCUUGACUCAUCAUUCCCCUGUAAGUUUCCCAAGGCCACAUCUAAGAAUAAACAAGAGAAGGAUACAUCUGCAGAAAUAAGAAAUGAUAUUUACUUACACCAACAGGCUCUUUGGGUUUUUGGUACAUUUCCACACAUUCUUCCACUGUCAGAAAUGUGUCCUGUGCAAGACAAGUGUUUUGGAGUGGAGAUGUGGAAGGGGCACCAAGCACCAGGGCCAGAGACAUAUCACCAGAAUCUAGACUGUUGCCAGCAGGAACCCCUGUGGUCCAUGGUAGAAGGGCCCUGCUGAGGUUAACUGGAGGCCAGUCUGUGACCUUGCACAUCUAUAUGCACAUCCCUGCCACCAGCUUAGCCUGUGGAGCUCCCAGAAGGCCCAGAGCCCUUUGAGAUAUCAAGGACUAAAUUUCAUAAAUAUCUUAAUUUAUGCUCAUAGAAGAACCUUUUGGUUAUUAAUACAACUGGGGCCAGGCAGGGAGGCAUUCAGUAUCCUCUACUGAGAAAAGCACUUCGCUCCUAUCCAGUUUCCACCACUGGACUUCUUUGUGACCUUGGGAAAGUUACCUGACCUUUCCCUGAUUUUGUUUCCACACGACUAUCAUUAGGUAAAUAAUUCUCGCCCUAGUUAAACAACUGAAGUAUAAUACAAGGUAUUAUAACAAAGAGCUAGACCACGGUACUAUGGAAAAUCAUGGGGAAAAAAGUUCGUUGUGAGAUGUGUUUAGUCAAGGAGGACUUCAUGGAGGAGGUGGUGGGCAUUGUGUUUGACUUUGUACGAUCUGGAUUGAUUAUGAGAGGAGAGGAUGGCCACAGAUGUGAAUGAGCACAUGCAGUGGAGGGGGCACGUAUGGAGGAGGGUUGAGAGGGGAAAACACAGUAAUCUUGUCACCACCAAUGAACAGGGUCAGCCUGGGCUCCACACAAGUGGAGAUGACCUGUCUCUCUGCUUGGCACAUGGGAGGUGAGAGGCAGCAUAACAUAGGAGUCAAGAGUGUAGACUCUGGAGCCAGACUGACUGGCUUCAAAGCUCAGCCUUCCCAUUACUUAACCUUUCCGUGCCUCAAUUUUACCAUCUGUAAAGUGGGGAUACUAAUGGCAUCUGCUUUCUGCAGUUGCUGGGAGGACUCCAUGAGCUAAUCCAUGGAAUACUUUGAUCCCUGUCUGGUGCUGAGCGAGCACCCAGCAAAUGCUGAGUUUUAUUAUCAUUAGAUGUCAAAAACUGUUCAGUGAAUGUGUAUCCACCAGAGCUGCCCCCGUCACAACGGUCCUCUGUGCUUCCUGAUUUACACCCUAGCUUCCAGCUACCUAAGCCUGGAGUCCUCUCCUGAACUCCAUGCUUGCAGAUCCUUCACCCCAAUGUUACCUAUUGACAGCCUUUCUCCUUGGGGCCUGGCUCUAACACCCUAGAGGAAGAAAAUAGAACAGUCAAAAAAAGGUCUAGGGCUUCCCUGGUGGCA